rnacentral:rRNA from 1 species
AGCGAACGCUGGCGGCAUGCCUAACACAUGCAAGUCGAACGAGACCUUCGGGUCUAGUGGCGCACGGGUGCGUAACGCGUGGGAACCUGCCCUUAGGUUCGGAAUAACUCCCCGAAAGGGGUGCUAAUACCGGAUAAUGUCUUCGGACCAAAGAUUUAUCGCCUUUGGAUGGGCCCGCGUUGGAUUAGCUAGUUGGUAGGGUAAAAGCCUACCAAGGCGACGAUCCAUAGCUGGUCUGAGAGGAUGACCAGCCACACUGGGACUGAGACACGGCCCAGACUCCUACGGGAGGCAGCAGUGGGGAAUAUUGGACAAUGGGCGAAAGCCUGAUCCAGCAAUGCCGCGUGAGUGAUGAAGGCCUUAGGGUUGUAAAGCUCUUUUACCCGGGAUGAUAAUGACAGUACCGGGAGAAUAAGCUCCGGCUAACUCCGUG